rnacentral:lncRNA from 1 species
AGAAAAAAUUGAAAAGUUGAAAUGUUCUGCGGAGGACCCACCGUUUAGGCGAGUGAAUGCGUCAUGAAAUCAUAUAUUUUUUUAAUCCUAUCCCUCUUUGCAACUGACGAGAGGAUCACUCGUGUGAUAUGAGUGGAAGAGUGAAGUCAGGGCGGAUCCAGCACACACUUACACCAAAUUUAACCAAUUAUGUGAUUGCAUUUUAAAACGACAUUAAGAUUUUUCAACAGAAGUAUUUCAUUAUUCAGUGACCGCAACAAAGCGUGUCCAACAUGUUUGCUGCACUGAAGUUUCGAUGGGUUUUGGUUUGGAUCUGCGUUAUUGUGUUUAGUUCUGCGACUCAAAGCACACAGGGGCCGGCUCAGUUCGUAACGCAACCGUCUAUUGCUACAGCAAAGUUGACGCAUCCUCAGCUGAAAACGAAGACUGAUGAUUACUUCCUUAACCCGGACGAUGACUCCAACAACCAAGAUCAGGGUCUUCAAAUCAGGACGUCAAAAACUCAAAAGAAUAGACCAUCCCCGGCGGCCAAACAAACGAAUAGAUUCCUCGGCCUACAGGGGAAAAAAUCCUCCAAACCCUCAACACCCAUAUCACCUUACAAAACAGACCCUGCGAUGGACGAACUGGCUCAGCAACUGGCGGGCGGCAUGAAACUCAACAAACCGCCACCUCCGGCGUCUCGCUCAUCAGGACGCUGGAACAAGAUCAGAGGCUUCACGAGGAAAUCUUUGAGAAGGAGUAAGAAGUACAUGAACUUAGGUUCUUUAUUAGGUUCUGGGACCAAAGAGGAACCUGUCAAACGUACCAGUUCAAUGUCAUCGGACUCCGAGAAUGAAGCCGGGUACAAUUCAGCUUAAAGUGUAGGCCACACUGAAAAAAAUCAUGGUGACAUCUAGUGAAAAUCUACUUGAUUUUUUACACAGUAAUACUAUCCCAUGAAAAUAACGAUAAUUAUAGUAGUAUUCACCAGAAAUCAAGUGACUGUUACCACAAUAUGGUAAAUGCUACCAUAUUGAGUCUGGUAUGUGUAACAAUUGCCACACUCGGAUCACUGUGUCAAAGCAUGCUAAAAUCUACCAUAUUUUUUUCAGUGCAUGGACAAUUAAACCGAGUACAUGGAUGAAGAGCGAAAUGGAAACAAGUAGUUAAGACCAAAAAAAUUUAAAAAUAUAUAAAAAAAAAUUAUUGCAAGUUAAUAUUUAUUAGAUUUAUUUUAAUUAGUAUAUUAAUGUCACCAUAAUAUCUGUCCCGUUGUAUUCUGAUCCAUACCAAAACACCAUGUAGUAACUCAUUACAUCAAGAUUCAUUCCAUUUUAUCCCGAUCCGUAAAAGCACGAUAAUUAGGGAAGGAAAUCAUCCAGAAACCAAAGUUAAGCCGAGGUCAUGACGUUUUGUGAUUGGCAGAUGGAUUGAUGGAUCUUUUAUAUUUUUUUUUAACGACUCACAGUUUUAAAGUCAAAACCUACAUUUUAACACAGUUUUCGUACUUUCAUAUUAUCUUUAAUUCCAAGUUUUCCAAACCUCAGUAACCUUCAUUACUUUAUUUAUCUAGAAGCUAUAUUUUAUGAAUUAUAAAAAUUUAGUCGAAUUCGGUCUUACGUAAUUAUGAAAUUCUAAUCAGCUUCUUUACAUAUUGAUAAUAUCGCGAUUAAUUGUUAAGUUUCAUAGUUAAAACUUAAAUUUUUAAAAAGGUUAUGUAUUUUUAUUCUUUCUUUAAAGUUUUAAUUUUUUAUAGUUAUGCCAUUCAUGAGAAUUUAAUCUGUGAGUCAAGUAUAGCAUAGUGAACCACUGGACAAGGUCUGAUGUAGACUGUAAUAUCACAUGUUUUCUCUUUAAAAUCUUACAUUCUAAGCGAUUCACACCAUAGAAAGUUUGGGUAUUGACUCCUAAGCAGAGUCUCAACAAUUAUUUUACAACACAGUUCAAAUGGAAGUUAGAUUAUACAAAUGACGUCAUCUGUAUUGUUGCCAUUUAACCAAUUUUAACGGUGAACACUCUAAAUCUUGUGAAGGAGCUAAUUCCUAGGUUUUCUUUGGUAUGACUUGUUUUCCUAGUAAAAUUCGAAGAACGGAGGCCCAUCACACUGGUGCGGUGGAAGGUGGAAUGACUCUACAAUUUAAAUUUUUAAGAAUUAUAUGGACGACUUUAUACGAAACAGACCUACGUAAAUAUUUUAUUUGUUUAUUUCAUUUAUUCAUUUUUUAAUUUCUCUUUUAUUGUAUUUAUUUUUAUUUAUGGGAAUCAUUUUUGCUAUAAUAGGUGGAUUUAUUUAUGGAUUUCUUUUAACCUUAGGAUUAACUUUAAAUAAUUAUAUUCUGGUUUCUCAAUUUUACACUAUAUUUAUGGGAGUAAAUUUAACAUUUCUUCCUCGGCAUGUUCUUAGUCUUAGGGGGUACCUCAUCGUUACGCUGACUAUCCUGAUUUUUACCUAUUGUGAAAUAAAUUUCUUCUGUGGGAAGAAUUUUGAGUAUCAUUCCUGUUGUUUUUGUUUUGCGCUCGUUAUGAGUUGGAUAAAAACAAUGGAAAGUGUGCGCGAUUCCUUUUGGUGAAAUGGAAAAGCGGGAUUUUAACUUCACCAAACGGAGCUAUGCCCCAACAGUAUGCGGGAAUCAUGAGCCGUGGGCAUGGCAAAAGAGCCUUGUGGACAGAGCUCACGAGUUGAAGACCGCCGCGGAGGACCUUGCGGCUUUGUUGCCGCUGACGUCACUGGCGCUUUCUUAUUCCCAUUCAUUCUCACCGCCCGAGAAAUAACGAACACACCCCAUAUAUCCCACCCGCACAUUGCUCUGUUUGGUGGAAAUACGCCCCUAUGUGUGUAAUAAAGCUAAGAAAUAAUUCCUUUUUGUAACAAAUAUGUCAAUUAAAAAGGAUGUAAGUUAAUAUUUUUAACCUCUCCAACUACACACAGGGCAUACAUUAAACUCUUGUAAAUAUUUUAAAACUUUUUUGACAAACUCACGCUUUGACUAAUUUGUUAGUGAACUGAACACUAAACAAAUUAGUGAAAGCAUGAGUUUUUCAAAAAAGUUUUAAAAGUUUUAAAACAGCUUUUACUGUUUUUCAAAAAUUUCGAUUAUUUUAUUAAAACUUGUAAAUAUGUUUU